rfam:Ovis aries breed Texel chromosome 6, whole genome shotgun sequence.
UCCCUCGUGGCUCAGAAGUUGAAGCAUCUGCCUCCAAUGCAGGAGACCCGGGUUCGAUCCCUGGGUCGGGAA